AUAGCAUAUCAAUAAGCGGAGGAAAAGAAACCCACCGGGAUUGCCCUAGUAACGGCGAGUGAAGCGGCAAGAGCUCAAAUUUGAAAGCUGGCCCCCGCGGGGUCCGCAUUGUAAUUUGCAGAGGAUGCUUCGGGAGCGGUCCCCAUCUAAGUGCCCUGGAACGGGCCGUCAUAGAGGGUGAGAAUCCCGUAUGGGAUGGGGUGCCCGCGCCCGUGUGAAGCUCCUUCGACGAGUCGAGUUGUUUGGGAAUGCAGCUCUAAUUGGGUGGUAAAUUUCAUCUAAAGCUAAAUAUUGGCCGGAGACCGAUAGCGCACAAGUAGAGUGAUCGAAAGAUGAAAAGCACUUUGAAAAGAGAGUUAAAAAGCACGUGAAAUUGUUGAAAGGGAAGCGCUUGCGAUCAGACUCGCCUGCGGGGUUCAGCCGGCCUUCGGGCCGGUGUACUUCCCCGCGGGCGGGCCAGCGUCGGUUUGGGCGGCCGGUCAAAGGCCCCUGGAAUGUAACGCCUCUCGGGGCGUCUUAUAGCCAGGGGUGCCAUGCGGCCUGCCCGGACCGAGGAACGCGCUUCGGCUCGGACGCUGGCAUAAUGGUCGUAAGCGACCCGUCUUGAAACACGGACCAAGGAGUCUAACAUCUACGCGAGUGUUCGGGUGUCAAACCCGUACGCGCAGUGAAAGCGAACGGAGGUGGGAACCCCCCCGGGUGCACCAUCGACCGAUCCUGAUGUCUUCGGAUGGAUUUGAGUAAGAGCGUAGCUGUUGGGACCCGAAAGAUGGUGAACUAUGCCUGAAUAGGGCGAAGCCAGAGGAAACUCUGGUGGAGGCUCGCAGCGGUUCUGACGUGCAAAUCGAUCGUCAAAUUUGGGUAUAGGGGCGAAAGACUAAUCGAACCAUCUAGUAGCUGGUUCCUGCCGA
rnacentral:rRNA from 1 species